AAUGUCAGUUAUUUUCUGACAGGGGAAUUAAGUUUUCCUUGGGGGAAGAAGAGGAGAUGAUGAUCACGGGGUGUAUUUCAUUGUUAGGAAAAACCCCUAGUGGGAGAUGGGAAAAUAUUGAAUAAGAUGUCAGCUGUGAACCUUUGGGAGAUGAAGAAAUGGAUAAUAAUUAUAUUAAAUUUUGGUAUUCCGUCAUAGGAAGCUGAAAGACCUCAUGAACAGCAGGACAGAAAGGAUUGUUAAAUAUUUAAAUAUGUGAAAUUUAUGAAAAUAUAUAUGGAUAUAGACUUUUGUAAUAAAGUGUGUAUUAUUUAA